rnacentral:rRNA from 1 species
AUUGAACGCUGGCGGCAGGCCUAACACAUGCAAGUCGAGCGAGCGGCGGACGGGUGAGUAAUGCCUAGGAAUCUGCCUGGUAGUGGGGGAUAACGUCCGGAAACGGGCGCUAAUACCGCAUACCAUCGGAUGUGCCCAGAUGGGAUUAGCUAGUAGGUGGGGUAACGGCUCACCUAGGCGACGAUCCCUAGCUGGUCUGAGAGGAUGACCAGCCACACUGGAACUGAGACACGGUCCAGACUCCUACGGGAGGCAGCAGUGGGGAAUAUUGCACAAUGGGCGCAAGCCUGAUGCAGCCAUGCCGCGUGUAUGAAGAAGGCCUUCGGGUUGUAAAGUACUUUCAGCGGGGAGGCGUUACCCGCAGAAGAAGCACCGGCUAACUCCGUGCCAGCAGCCGCGGUAAUUC